rnacentral:lncRNA from 8 species
AUGAGCAUUUCAUUGUGGUUUGUCAACAAUCGCGCUUCUAUGGCACCAGCUGCGAGUCAUGACACGCACACCUGUCAGACGGCAUUCCUGUUUGAUGAAAGCUGUCAGAAAGUUCAUCAUGCACGUUGCGUUGAAAUGCCUUGCGUUCUCGACAGACACCACGAUACCCGCUGGCUAGCUGACCCGUUUAGCUGGACGGACCGUUUCUGCGAUGUGAGCGUGAAUAAUUAUAUGAGAGCGAGAGAGAUAAUUCCACCUGACUCUCUUCCGAGACCGAAACCAUCCAUCCCUGAAGCUAAGGAGAGAGAGUGUAAAGCCAGAAAGAGAGGCAGAAGGUGACACCUGGAGAAAUACAAGAGAGGUGGAACAAGGCUACCCAUAGCUGUCUGCCUGGUGGAAUUACGCACGAUGGACCAGGUAAUACUUUUAUCUUGUCAUUUUCUCUCUCCUUGCACGCACACAGCGCCGUCCCGGUAUAGCGAAGACCUGGGUUGGUUGUCAUAGUGCUUUACUACUCCCAAUCUACAGGGUGCUGUGUGAUAACUGUACAAUUCAAAUGUGUGAAUUCUUUGAAAGAACUCAUCCACCUGGACAAUUAAUGUCAGCAUGACAAAACAUUGAGGUGAGGGGCAUUUGUGUUUCAAAGUAAAAAAUACAAAAAUGUGGGGGUGGUAUAUGUAGUGUGGAGAGCGAUUGGACAUUGGGAAGAAUGUUGAUGCCUGGCCGACUAUAAACGAUGUAGAACUGUAGCAUGUCGAAUGUAGCUAUUCUGCAAACAUCUGUGAGACGUCUGGCAAAUUGGCAAACAAUGUCUUAAACUGCAUCGUCCCAAAGCAUCAUGUACGGUACAUCCGUUGGGCCGAGGUAUCUGUGCUAUCUGGGUUUGUUGCCUCUCUCACAAACAUAUAUUUUCUGUCACACACCCUCAAUCUACACAUGCGUUUGCAAACGCACGCAUACACACACAUUUACUCAAAAUGUCAUAUGUUGUUCUCAAGGCAUAAAAUGCAGAAUUUUGUUGGGAAUAUCACCCAUCAAAGAAAGACGAUUUCAAAGACUCUUUAUAAACUGGGUGGUUCGAGCCCUGAAUGCUGAUUGGCUGACACCCAUGGUAUAUCAGACCGUAUACCACGGGAGGACAAAACAUUUAUUUUUACUGCUCUAAUUAUGUUGGUAACCAGUUUAUAAACAUGUUGCGUCAUGCCUAAGAACAACCCUAAGCGUGGUAUAUUGGCGAUAUACCACACCCCCUCGGUCCUUAUUGCAUAAGUAUACUAUAUUGCUUAAUUUCCUGUUACAAAAGGAAUAAACUAGUAGCAAACAUUGUGACAACCAACCCCAUAGAGGAGGAUAAAAUGGGUCCCUAUUUUAACCCAAGACCUUGGACUUCCUAUUAAUAUUGAAAAGAGUCUUCUAAGAUAGACUGGUGAUGAGAAAUACACACAAGAGUACAAAGCGUGACAACCAACCCCGAUCACCCAUAAUGAAGGUUGUUACCAUGAAUACAGUUUUAGUCAGAUGGGUAGUUGGCAUGAUGCCCA